rnacentral:rRNA from 1 species
GACGAACGCUGGCGGCGUGCUUAACACAUGCAAGUCGAACGGAAAGGCCCUGCUUUUGUGGGGUGCUCGAGUGGCGAACGGGUGAGUAACACGUGAGUAACCUGCCCUUGACUUUGGGAUAACUUCAGGAAACUGGGGCUAAUACCGGAUAGGAGCUCCUGCUGCAUGGUGGGGGUUGGAAAGUUUCGGCGGUGGGGGAUGGACUCGCGGCUUAUCAGCUUGUUGGUGGGGUAGUGGCUUACCAAGGGUUUGACGGGUAGCCGGCCUGGGAGGGUGACCGGCCACAUUGGGACUGAGAUACGGCCCAGACUCCUACGGGAGGCAGCAGUGGGGAAUAUUGCACAAUGGGCGGAAGCCUGAUGCAGCAACGCCGCGUGCGGGAUGACGGCCUUCGGGUUGUAAACCGCUUUCGCCUGUGACGAAGCGUGAGUGACGGUAAUGGGUAAAGAAGCACCGGCUAACUACGUG